AUUACCACCACCACCACCCUCAAUUCCUCCCCCAACAAUUUCCUCCCCAUUUUGCCCUCCACCCCCACCACCGCGCCCCCGAGCCCCACAGCUUCCAGCCGCCGCCGCCGCCUCAGCAACUGCGGCCUCAGGCUCAGCUGCAGCCUCCCACUGUGAAGCACGAGGCCUUGGCGCAGAAUGCCACUAAAGUCGCCCCAGAAACGCCCAAAGAGAGUGCUCCGGCUUCUGGAACCAAGAGAAGAGGUGGGCCAGGGGGUCUUAACAAAGUCUGUGGUGUCUCACCUGAGCUUCAGGCUGUUGUUGGUGAACCGGCCUUGCCAAGGACUGAGGUU